GCCUUUGUAGCGCAAUUGGCUAGCACGUUCGGCUGUUAACCGGAAGGUUGGUGGUUCAAGCCCACCCAGGGGCG
rfam:Daphnia magna strain Xinb3 scaffold02716, whole genome shotgun sequence.